UUAGCUAGCAAUAAGUGCAGGUCACAAAGUUUAGCGCAGGCUCUAUCGUAGAGCCUCUUCCCCCUAGGCCCAAAUAAGGAUGAGUUUGGGCCAUUUUUU
rnacentral:sRNA from 1 species